rnacentral:lncRNA from 1 species
UUUCCUUUUGCCUCAGACUCCCAUAUAGCUUGGCAUAGAACUGGGCAACUGUAAUGAGAGGAGAGGGAAGACAAGGAAGGGUAGGAGCAGUUAGGAAACGGGUGGAAUAAUCGGGGUUCAUAGUAACAGGGGGCAGGACCAAGCUGCUGGCAGCAAGGGUAUGAGGAUGCCAUCUAGCCCUGGAAAUGUUCUGCAGGUAGCACCAACAGAACCACCUACAGAUUAGAUGCAGAGGUCUGAAAAAGGAGAAACAUCAAGGGUAGCUCCAAGGUUUUUGACUUGAGCAAUUUAAAGGGAGAUAAAAUAUAAAAUACCUGAGAGCCAGCACAUAGUAGGUGCUCAAUAAAUGUUGCAUUGUCACUCCCUGUGUGUCUAUAUCCAAGGAUCACAUCUGUGUGUGAGAGAG